CCCCUCUCUCUAACCCCUGAACCAGAGAGUGGUGCUCGUGUCCUUCCCAUUGGAUGUCAGAGUUGUAUAUUCGAUUGGGGAGACCAUCGCAGUCAUCGCUGGAGUCCUGUUUGGAGCUCUGGGCAUCAUUAUCACGGCUCACUUCAUUAUCAAAAGCAUACGGUCGAAAAAACAUGAAGAGCCCAAACAGGAAGUGGUUUACAAGACCUCUAACCUGGAAGAGGAAGUUGUCCAACAGCUGGAACACCAACAGCCUUGAACUUUCACCUUUGAUCGGGAAGAUGUAUAUAUUUUUAGUUUUUUUUUUUGGGAGGGGG